rnacentral:rRNA from 1 species
AGAAUCAACGCUGGCGGCGUGCCUCAGACAUGCAAGUCGAACGCGAAAGUUUCCUUCGGGAAACAAGUAGAGUGGCGCACGGGUGAGUAACACGUAGGUAAUCUACCUUUGGAUGGGGAAUAACAACCGGAAACGGUUGCUAAUACCGCAUAAUGCAGCGGCACCUAAUGGUGACAGUUGUUAAAGCGGGGGAUCGCAAGACCUCGCGCCUGAAGAGAAGCCUGCGGCAGAUUAGCUAGUUGGUAGGGUAAUGGCCUACCAGGCUACGAUCU